rnacentral:tRNA from 1 species
UCCCUAGUGAUCCAGGGGCUAAGCAUCUGCACUCCCAAUGCAGGGGGCCCAGGUUCGAUCCCUGGCAAGGGAA